GAUGAACGCUGGCGGCGUGCCUAAUACAUGCGAGUCGAGCGAACAGACGAGGAGCUUGCUCCUCUGACGUUAGCGGCGGACGUGUGAGUAACACGUGGAUAACCUACCUAUAAGACUGGGAUAACUUCGGGAAACCGGAGCUAAUACCGGAUAAUAUAUUGAACCGCAUGGUUCAAUAGUGAAAGACGGUUUUGCUGUCACUUAUAGAUGGAUCCGCGCCGCAUUAGCUAGUUGGUAAGGUAACGGCUUACCAAGGCAACGAUGCGUAGCCGACCUGAGAGGGUGAUAGGCCACACUGGAACUGAGACACGGUCCAGACUCCUGCGGGAGGCAGCAGUAGGGAAUGUUCGGCAAUGGGCGAAAGCCUGACGGAGCAGCGCCGCGUGAAUGAUGAAGGUCUUCGGAUCGUAAAACUCUGUUAUUAGGGAAGAACAAAUGUGUAAGUAACUAUGCACGUCUUGACGGUACCUAAUCAGAAAGCCACGGCUAACUACGUG
rnacentral:rRNA from 1 species